rnacentral:rRNA from 1 species
UACGUAGGGAGCGAGCGUUGUCCGGAAUUACUGGGUGUAAAGGGAGCGUAGGCGGGACUGCAAGUUGGGUGUCAAAUCUACCGGCUCAACCGGUAGCCGCACUCAAAACUGCAGUUCUUGAGUGAAGUAGAGGCAGGCGGAAUUCCUAGUGUAGCGGUGAAAUGCGUAGAUAUUAGGAGGAACACCAGUGGCGAAGGCGGCCUGCUGGGCUCUUACUGACGCUGAGGCUCGAAAGUGUGGGGAGCAAACAGG